rnacentral:lncRNA from 1 species
GGCGGGCCGCCGCGCAAGAACCUGGAGGUCAUGAAGGAGGCCAUGGUGGAGGCCAACGAGGUGGUGGCUGAAGUCAAGAAGAAGCAGGAGAAGAAAGAGAAGAAGAAGAAGAAGCGUGAGAAGCGGCGGCUGGAGGCGCUGGCUGCGGCUGCGGAGGAGAUGGAGAACUCGGUGCUGGAGACAGAGGAAAACGAGACAGAGCCCAAGAAAAAGAAGAAGAAAAAGAAGCAGCAGCUGGAGGCUGCCUCAGAGCCAGAGGAGAACGGGCUGGAGGAAGAGGCCUUGCCCAAGAAGAAAAGGAAACUAGCAGGAGAGACUGUCCAGCUGGACAAAAAGAAGAAGAAAAAGGCCAAGGAUUUGGAGGAGGAUUAGGGAAGCAGGGAGGAGCUG